CCGUGGGCCGUGCCUUGCUCGCCUGCGAAGGUGGUAUCGGUAUUGGGGCGUCCCUUCACCCUGCAGUACACCUCCUUUCCUCGGUGCCGCCCGCUCGAGGGUCCGGGACGGACGCCUCGAGCCGCUUCCUCCGCGCCGCCCGCCGCCCCUCCCGGCCGGAGGCGAGUGGGCCGGGGCCCCCAGCGGACCGGGGCCCCGAGUUCCCGGCCGGCCUCGUGGCCGCCGCUCCGAGGCCAAUGCUUCUACCGAAGGCCGCGUCACGCGUUCGCCCCGUGUGGUGCGCCCGACGUCCAGAGUUUCCGUUCAUAGCAGAUCAGUCCUGCAGUUUGCUUUACUUCCAACUAGUUUUAUUACAAAAGACACCCGGAGUGUGUGUGUCUACCCUGGUGGUGCAUUUUUUCCAGCGUACACUCAUUUGAUUGCAAGCAUGAGAAACCCAGAAAGAAUUUUUCAAAUUCAGUCUUUCCACAUGAUGUCAUGUAGAGCCUGAAAGCUUCAGCAUCAGCAAGCUUCUCCAUCCGGUUUCCCGUCUCCAACACUUGCUGCGAAAUCGCUGCUUCUCAAAAACGACCUAUCCUAUUCAAAUAAAUGGCUUCAUUUUCGGUCCUAUUGAUUGUAACGGAAUUUUAGCAUAAAUCUAGGGCGAAAUCUGAUGAGGCCUUUUUGGUUGACUAUCAGGGCAGACUGAGAAAUACUCCUCUGAAGAAAUGAGAGCCUGUAUUCUUAAUGAGCUAAUUACAAGAUCGUGUCUCUUCUUCCACGUGUAGAACAUCACUGCAACUUCUGGAGGCAAUCUAACUAUUUGAGAACCUACUAAGUGUCUAGUGCUAAAGCAAAGCUCCGUGGCAUGUGCAAAAGAAAUAAUUCCUUUUGGAGAGGAACCCACAAUCAAAUUGGAAGAGGAAGACAAACAAUUGGGAAGCAGUUAUGGACAAACUUGUAUGUACUGCAACUUUACUGCUUUGUAUGGUGAAAAAAAAUCCAACAUCCCAAAGAUAAUUAAAGUAAUGAAAUGAUCCGAAAGUUUUCCGGGAGCAAAUAAUGGCAGCCGAAUUUUCAUUAUUAUGCCCAGAAAGAAAGAAGGAAAAUUGAAGUAGUAUGACUCCAAAGCUAUCCCAGAUUACAGGCAAGUUUUCCCCAAGGCCCUGUGACUGAAGGCCCUUAGCUAGACACUGAGGACACAAAGAGCAAUUGCUGCUGGAUGGUGUAUGUGGCAGAGCCCUGGAGAGGUCGGGAGAGAGGACACCAAGCAAACAGAUGCCUCCAGGGGAGCGUGAGUGCUGGACUCUGUGCUUCCAGAGUCAGGCAGCUCUGCAGUCAGAAAGCCUCCAUCCAGAUCCCUCUUGGCUCUACCACAGCGGGUGACUGAAUGCUUGGCAAGUGACUCCACCUCUCUAAGCCUCAGUUUUCAUAUCUAUAAAGUGCAGAGAAUAAAAAAGAAUAUUUCUCCUGGAGGG
rnacentral:lncRNA from 1 species